rnacentral:lncRNA from 1 species
GGGGAUUCUGGGUCGCGCAGCCGUGGAGCUACCUCAAGGCGGAACUGGGGAGUCCAGGGCUUCGGCAGCCUGAACACCCGGUGUGAAAGGAAGGUGGCAGACGUGGAGCGGCGCGCAUGCGCAGCAGCUCACUCUGCUGAAGGGCUGAGAGGCGCACCCGGGCGGCCAGCUGGGCUCGGAGCGGAACGGGGUCAGGAUGGACGAGGACGUGCUAACCACCCUGAAGAUCCUCAUCAUCGGCGAGAGUGGGGUGGGCAAGUCCAGCCUGCUCUUGAGGUUCACAGAUGAUACGUUUGAUCCAGAACUUGCAGCAACAAUAGGAUACUGCUGGUCAAGAGAGGUUUAGAACAUUAACUCCCAGCUAUUAUAGAGGUGCACAGGGUGUUAUAUUAGUUUAUGAUGUCACAAGAAGAGAUACAUUUGUUAAACUGGAUAAUUGGUUAAAUGAAUUGGAAACAUACUGUACAAGAAAUGACAUAGUAAACAUGCUAGUUGGAAAUAAAAUCGAUAAGGAAAAUCGUGAAGUCGAUAGAAAUGAAGGCCUGAAAUUUGCACGAAAGCAUUCCAUGUUAUUUAUAGAGGCAAGUGCAAAAACCUGUGAUGGUGUACAAUGUGCCUUUGAAGAACUUGUUGAAAAGAUCAUUCAGACCCCUGGACUGUGGGAAAGUGAGAACCAGAAUAAAGGAGUCAAACUGUCACACAGGGAAGAAGGCCAAGGAGGAGGAGCCUGUGGUGGUUAUUGCUCUGUGUUAUAAACUCUGGGAAAUUCCAUCUCUUGCAUAUUUGAUCAGAUAGUGACAUCUUUCUGUAUAUAAACUCUUUAACUGCUAUUUUAGGGACCUUGCAGUUUGCACAUAAUUGUUUUAUAUCAUAGCAGUAAAUAUUUGCAAGAAAUCCCACUCAUCGACCCCGGGUAAAAUGUUAUGGUAAGCAUGCACAGUUUGCAGUCUACAGUUUUUUUAUGUAGCACAAAAUAGGUGUACCUUUAUAAGUACAUUCAAUUUUAUGAUUUACAUUUAUCAUGUAAUUUUUAAAAAAAUCCAUCUAUCUAGGAUAUGUUGAUACAAAGUCUGCUUUUGCUAUUCUUUUUGCUUAAAUACUCCUAUCAUUUUCUGAAUUACUUGGUAUUUAGAACUCCUAGCACCACGGGGAAGAAUAGAGGUAUCAUCAAACGUGGCAAAUUUUCUUUCAGGAAUAAUAAAGAGCAUGAUUCCACAGCUUUUCUGGGAUGUUUGAGAUUCUUUUUUAGUACUAAGCAAAAUUCUCAUCACAGAAUGUAGCCCAGGCCAAUUUAUAACUAAAUCUCUAUUUGUUCGGAUGAUGCUUCUAAAACAGCAUUGAUAGGUUAAAGAAGCUUGGUAUUUUUAAUUUACUUCAAUGAUUAGCUCAGUUGCUUAACUGGAGUUUUAAUCCUGUGAUAUGUACAUUGGAUUCAUGACUGUGCAGCAUUUUUAGUUAUGUGGUGUUUGGCAGAAUGACAAUAAGGUUUUCCCCCAUUUUGGUUUCAGGAGGACAUGAAUAGUGUGUUUAUUGUAACUCCUCAUACACUUUUAAAACCAACAUCUUUUUUCAUAAAUGUUGGUAGUGUUUGUCCAGGUACCUUAACUGUAGCUUGUGUAAUGUUGAUGAAUAUCUGUAUCUUACGGCUUCCAUAAUGGCUAGUUGAUAUUCAAAAACCUAUUUCUGUGUUUUGAGGGGUGGGGAAAAAAAACACUAAGUGAUAAUUUGAAAAAGGCAUAUUGCUUCCAGAUUCUGAUGUGUGAGGGAAAAUACUGUCACAAUGAAAAUCUUGACAAUUUACUUAACAAGUAACCAGUAGUUCAUCAAAACCAACUUGUACAGACUAAUAAAUCUUUUUCACAGUAUUCAGUUUUCUCACCUCUUGCUAUUGUAUAUUGUAGAUUUUUUUCAUUCAUGUGUUAUUUAAUUUACACUGAUCUCUGCUAUUUUAACCCCCCAAAUAAGUUAUUUGUCCUUUAAGGUUGGUUACUAUAAUACCCCUCAGUAAGAUUCCAGUAUUAAUUUCUGGGCAGUUUGUUCUCUGUAUACAAUUGCAAAUGAUAAGCAUUUUUGUGAGUGACCACCUUUGCAAUAUGUUUGUUAAUUUACUUCAUGUUGGGUUCUUUCUGAAAUGUACAUCUUUACAUAUAAAAACCUCACAUUCUACUUGAUUUACACUUCCUAGUCUACAUUACAUGUGGUUGAAGGUUUUAUACAUUCUAUAUGCUUUUACUAAAUAUACAAGAUUUACUACUAGAAAUUUGGAGAAAGAACACUAACACAUGUACUUGUGAUUUGUUCAUGUUAUAUUAAAACUUGAGAUUUGUGUAUUUAUGUAGAGUCUGUAUUGACAAGACUGUUGUUUUUUGCUCCUUGAGCUAUAUAAUAAUCUGUGUAUUGGAUUGUUGUCUUGAUUUGGUCUAAAUUUGAAUAUAUAUGAGUUACUUGAAUAUAACAAAAAUGAAUUUUGUUUGAUAGAUUUAUAUUGUAACCUUUUUCUAGUUCUUGAAUAAAUAUAGCCUGCUUUCCCUAGAUGCAUUUGUGUAGGAAGUAUAUACAUUUCCCUAUUACUCUCAUCAGCUGAAGAAUAUGUACUAUUGUGUUACUCAAAUUAUGUGGCUUUCAUUUUGUUGUUUUGUUGCAAGCUUAGUGUUUUGUAGUGGAGGUUUUGUAAAUGAAACAGUUGUAAUAUCUAAGGUCAGGCACCUAGUAACAGGGUUUUGUUAAUUCUUUUCAGAAUCAUUGAAGCAGUCUUAAAGGGUCUUUUGCAGAUGGUACAAAUUAGAACAAUUAGAAUAUAGUAUUUUGAGUUCUAGUAGUACUGAGAUUGACCCAAACAAAUAAAAAACUAUUCAAUUUCUGAGUAAUAGUUAAUAUUUAUUGAAAGCUUCCUUGGUGCCAGAUGCCUUUCUAAGUGCUGAAUUAUCUCAUUAAACCUCACAGCAACCUUAAGAGAUUAGUACUCCUAUUAUGCCCAUUUUAAAGGUGAGGACAACACAAUGUAGGUAUGUUAGGUAACCCCCAAAGAUCACAUAGCUACUCAGUCACUGAGCUGGAUUCCAGUCAUGGCAUUUUUACUUCUGAGCCCAUACUCUUCACCAUCGCUCAUUUUACAAUGGGUAGUUAGUUACCAGCUUUUUGUAACACAACCAAGUUAAGGCAGUUCCACUAUUUCUUUAUCACUCUUUUGUUAUAUGUAAUAGAAGUAUUUCACACUUUUGGGUUAUAGAGUAAAUCCCAUGAUGUAAACCUACCUCAUAAGUCAUGUGACAUAAAAGUUAAGGUAGUGGAGUAGGUGGUCUUAUUUCUUUCACCUGCUCAGAGUGGACUGAAAAUCCUGACUUAGAAAAGGUACAAAGUUAGGGGACUUAUGGUACCUUCACUUUUUAUGUGAGAAUAGAAAUUAUGGAAACAGUAAUUUGCUCAAAACUGAAAUCUGGGGUGAUGUUUUCAUUUCAUGUAUUUGAUUGCCAUCCAUAAACUCAUACUUGGUGUUGACAUUCUAGCUGAGUGUUGUGGAAAUAGACUUGAUUUUGAUUCAUCGUAGCUUGCAUGGUCAAGAGACAUGAUUCUCUACUAAGGGUGGGGCUAGCACCAUAGCUCAUAAAAGAAUCCUUCUUACACCAGUACUUGUUCUGCCUGUGAGUUGGCACAGACUUACCUAAUAACCAUAGUGUCUUUAAGUACAACUUAAUACAUAUUUUUUCUGUGUAUUUUUUUCAAAUGAACUCAACAAUUCUUCAGGUAUUAUAGAUCAGAGAUCCUCUCCAUAUUCAAGCAUUAUGCUUCUCUUUCUUGGGGGUACAUUUCACUAGUAAUACUUAGGAAGUUAUUUUGUCUUUCCUGUAUUUCCCUAGUUAAGUAUAGGGGUAAAAACGUUAUUCAGCUUUCAGAAGACAUUGUUCUGACUCCGACCCUGCCGUGUAUACUCAACUAUAUAGACUUCACCCUGGGUUUUGCCUAAACUGUUGAAAGACGAGAAUAAAUAGACAUAGACAGGCUAGCUAAGUCAAGACUAGGGGCUAAGGAAUAUAGAAUCACCCAGGUCUUUUUUUUUUUUUUUAAUUUUUCUCUCCUCAGUUGGGAACAUCUAUCAUGCUGGAGGACUACUGUGAUGGGGCUUUACAUUUUACUGUUUUGUUGCUAGCUUAUUGUUUCAUACUUGGGAAUCAGUCAUGUUUCUGAUUGUGGUAUAAAGUUUGCUUAAGUGCCCCUUAGUUAAAGCUGUUCAAUGAAUGUAAGCACACACACACCUACACACAUAUUUUGAAUAGUCGUGUGUUCAUGCCUGUUCUCAGUCUUGUCCCCUUUACCGUUUCUCAUGCAGGUUAUUUCUUGCUUUUUUUUUUUUUCCUCUUUUUUAACCGGAGAAGCAACAAAUUACGUAGUUUUUUUUGUGUUUCUUUGAUUACUAGUGAGCUUGAGUACUUUUAAUAUUUUAUUGGAUAUGUUUGUGACUGACUUUAAUUUCUUGUUUGUGUGUGCUGUGGCUGCCCGAUCCAGCACCUACUUCCUUCUCCCACCAUACCACCCCCACCCCCACCCCUGCAAACAAUUGGCAUGUGGUUUGGGUGGCAUUGUCACACCCUCGGCUUUCUAGAUUAACCCAGUUACCUUUUAGCAGUGCCCCACUUCCCCAGUAGCAAUGGUUCAGGGGUAGGCACCUGACCCAGACCAGACUACUGAGAUAAAGAUGUUUGCCUAGGCUUUUUCAGGAGCAAUUGAAGACAUCUUGUUGGAGAUAGUGUGCUGGGAGGAGUCACAUUCUGAACUUGCUGCAGCUCGUUUUUCUAAUAUAAAGGAACCAGCCUGAGGCAGUACCAGGGUGAGAGGGAGUCUAUUGGAGCCCUUGGGAACUUCUGGAUCAAAUUGGACCUGAAUUGAGAUCUAUUUCUCAGCUUUCACUUAUGUGAGCCAAUAAAUUCCUUUUUUGUUGAAGGC